UACAAUGCACACAUCGCAUGCAUUAGGUCGCUGCCACGAAGCUGGGUCGGAAUCUUCCUUCCCCUCCAGACCGUAGCUUCUCUGGCCAAACGGCAUGAGAUGGAAAAGCUAGCGGAGUAAAUGGGCAAGGGGUAAAUUUGCUGAACUUGAAGGGCAUCUUGGAGGAAGAGGGAAUUUGAACAUUUUGUUCACUAUCAUAACGGUGUUAAUGCGUGGAUUUGUUGUGCCCAGAUGAAGAAUGGAUGCGGUGAGAUUGAGAAAUUGGCACAAGAUGAUGAGGUGAAACAGCUUUUUAUCGCCACUUCAGCAGUUUAUCCAGGCAACCCACAAAUUCAAGUUAGAAUGGUUUUAAUGUUCAAACAAAUUCAAAUUGAGGAAUUUUAUGAUACUAAUUGCUGUUACAAUGUGAUGGGUGAUGGGUGAAAUUUAGGGCAUCUUAUAACUUUUCUGUUACCAAGGCUGUGGUGCUGGAAUUUGCGGAGAACCUCUCAUCAACCAUUUCAUGAAUAAGUUUUACUCUUGAAUUUGUUCUUAGAAUACCCAUUAAUCAAGAUGAUACAAGUAAAGACGUCUGGUAAGUUUGUGGGUCAAGGCCAUGGCUAAUUAGCUUGAUCUUCUAACUGCUGGGAACAAUCUGCAAGUAGAUUUGGAAAAUGGAAAUAUAUGCUUGGUAUUUGAGUCAUGAAAGUGCCUUGUAGUGGUAAGACCUCGAUCUUUCUUAAAACAUUACCUGAGCAUCCAAAUUCAAAAAUUAGAAGCUUUGUGGACGCCCGUCAGGUGUGCUGCUUUUCUUCCUUUCUUGUAUUGUACUAAUUUGAGUCUCGUGUUGUGGUUAAUAGAAGCACUGUGUUUUGUCUAUGAUAAUGCAUAAGCUUUCAAUAAGUUUGAUGUAAGAGAUAGAGCAAUAGCCUCU
rnacentral:misc_RNA from 1 species